rnacentral:lncRNA from 1 species
UGGGGGUUUUACGUGCAACAUGGCUUUCAUAGUCUUGAAAAACCUUCAAGGAGGCCUUCAAAUGUAUUUUAAUGUUGUUAUUUGGCUGCUUCAUACUUUUAAAAGCCUAAAGCCAUUGUAAGAUUAACUGUUAUAAUUGUGGACACAAUUGUUCUUUUAAAAUUUCCAUUUGGGAGCUUUCAUGGGGGAAAUCCCUCGCAAAUAGUGACAGUUGGCAGGUUUGA